AGAACCUCAUCUGUUUUGUCCUUUAUUUUGUCCCUAGUACCUGGCAUUAUGGCUUCUAAUUUGUUGAUUGAAUAUGUCCAACACAGGAAGUGGUGUGAUUAUAAUACACAUAGGUUUCUACUCCUUCUGAACCAGUCAGGAUUGGGUUCAGCAGCAAGUGAUCCCAACCUAGAAAUAGCAGAGGCCUGAAAAAGAUGGAAUUUUACCUCUUUCUCUGGUGUGGAAUGGUUCAUUGUCAAUCAGGGAAUUAGAUUUCUUCCAGUUCAUGCUCUGUAGAGCUAAGGGUAUAGCCAUCGUACUCAAGGUCCAAGAUGAUAGCUGGAGCUUAGCCAUCAAUCACCUCCCUCUACAUUUUGGGCAGGAGUUUGGUGGAAGAGGUAAAACAUGAUGGAGAAGCCCAUGCCAACUGCCUUUCACAAAAAUUCCCCAGAAGUUACCACUACACUUUUACUUUGUUCUCAUUGGCUAGUACUUAGUCGCAUGUCAUAUCUAGCUGCAAGGGCACCUGGGAAAUGUAGUUCUUUGGGGAGGACACCUGAUUGUUCUAAUAUUAAAGGUUUUGUUAAUAAGAAUGUGGAGAAUCUCUGCCAUUCCUUUCCUACUAUGAAACAUCCUGUAAUUCCCUGGUACUUCUUAGAUCAAGAGGUUUUUUGUUUGUUUCCUUGUUUUAUUUUUAUUUGGUAUGGGGGAUUGAACACAUAGCACUAUACCACUGAGCUACAUCCCUAGCUCUUUUUAUUUUUUAUUUUAAGACAGGGAUUCAGUUGCUGAGGCUGGCCUUGAACUUAUGAUCCUCCUAUCUCAGCCUCUUGAGCCACUGGGAUUACAGGCAUGCACCACCUGUGGUACCUGGCAUGUCAAGAGUUCUUAAUACAAUUGUAUAACGGGGGAUAGUAGAGGAUAGGAAAGGUAGCAGAAUACAACAGUUACUAAUACGGCAUUAUGUAAAAAUGUGGAUGUGUAACCGAUGUGAUUCUGCAAUCUGUAUUUGGGGUAAAAAUGGGAGUUCAUAACCCACUUGAAUCUAAUGUAUGAAAUAUGAUAUGUCAAGAGCUUUGUAAUGUUUUGAACAACCAAUUAAAAAAU
rnacentral:lncRNA from 1 species